AAAGCAGUGACCAAUACAGUCUUGUGUUACAUAAAUAUUACUUAUUAUCAGUUAAACAUGAUUAUUAACAGGGGUUGUGGGUAUGGGAGGCAUAUUGCAGGGAGAAGAAAGUGUAUUGUCUAUUCCUGUGUGCUUUAAGCUUUGCCCUCCUUCUUUAGGAUUUUUUUCUUAAUGAGAGUUGUUUACACUGCCAGUUUGUAGACAACUGGGGCCCAGAAAUCAAUUUAUAUGGGCCAUGAUCAGCAUUAAAAAAAUGAACAGAAUAUUAGCCUUCAUUACACACAGACUCCAUGUGAAGAAGAGAGACCAAAGAGAAUAUUACGGGAAAACAGGAUUGGAGUGAUACACUCACAGGCCAAGAAACACUGAAGAGUUCCAGAGAAUCACAAGUACCUGGGGAGAGAACAAUGAUGGGAAGAGCUGUGAAAACCUCUUCAAUUUAUUCUGAGAUCCAGGAUCUCAGUCUUAUCUUCCUCCGGGUUUACACAGUCUACUGUUCAGGGUGCUGCUUUGUAGAAGUUGUGUCCAGGAUGGAGCAUGGAUGGAAGGACUGCCUUUGGAGUCUUGUUCAUAAGGGAAAAAAAUCAGGCUCUAUUUAAAGCCCUUUUCUGGUUAUUGAAAUCUUGUGAUGCUGGUAUAAUGAAUUUUAUCACCUGGUUAUCAAUCUUUUAACUGGGUCUAAACACUUUAGUCAGCCCUGUGACAAAAUUUCUUUGGUAAAUAAUUUGCACUUUGCAAUCAUCUGGAAUGGAAGAAUUUGUGGAGUAAUAUUUACUUCUUAAAAACAUAUUUAUUUUCCUGGGUCACUUGCAUUUGCUUAUUUAGCAAAGGAAAGGUGAAAAAGUCCUUGUUAGAUUCUAAAAUGCAGUCCAUAAAAAUAGAUGUGUUUAUCUUGUCUUGUUUUUGUUCUAUAUUAAUAUGCAAAACAAUGCCUGCUGAGAAAUAGAUGCUCAUUAUCCCUAAAAGAAAGAAUUAAUGAGUGAAUAGAUGAAAGAUUGAACGCUGAAUGUUAACUGUUAUGGUCUUCAUAUUUAUGCUCCUACAAUGUCAGAAUAUCAUUUUUCUAUGGCGGGAUCUCCUGGGAAAUGUGAAAAGCAGUAGAAAAUGUCUAGAAAAUAGAAAAGAAAGAAGCUGUUGGAAGUGCCAGCAGGUUAGGGUCCCUAAUCAGCUUCUGUUUUAUAUACAUGAGAUUAAAGAUUCCCUCUGAGUUUUGAUUAAAGAUGCACAGUUACAGAUUAAAUACUGUUAAGCCAAAUUAGAAAGGGCUUUACUCCAAUCUCUGGAUUUAUCAAGGCUCUCCUGCUCCCCCUCCUUCACAUUAAGCUGUCUUUAUAACAUAGGAUUAGAGUAAAAUCAUUGGAAGACUUCGUGUCCCCAGGCUCUCUGUUACCUUUCCUACACAGCUGUCCUCAUUCAGAUCACAACAAAAUUCUCUUGUCAAGAAUCAAAGCUUGUUUCCCCUUGAAGUUUGUGUUUAUACCUGUGACUGAAUUCAUUCCAGUGCUUCUGCACAUAUUUAUUUAUUUUUUUGAUCCGUAAUGUCCUAUAUCAGAUACAACACGCACUCUUGUCUCAUGCAUUGUCACGAAACAUAUUAAAACUUAGUACACUUGUCUAUUUUAGAAAACACCUCCUUAAUCAUUCUGUAAUUAUGCAAAUACUCCCACAGGGCCAACUAUAAACAUGUCCUUUCUUUCCUGAGAAGAUUUCUGACUCUCUCUCUCCUUGGAAGCCACAGCAAAGGAAUAUGGCUAGAGCAUGCAAUUAAUAACUCAGCUGAGGAGAGGUUAAUAUGGUCAUCAGGUGUCUGAGGAAUAAAACUGUCAUUGCUUUAUUAAGGACUGUAAUUCAAGCACGAGCUUGUAUGGUUACAACAAAACAAUAUUAAAAACAUAAAAGACUGAGUUGAAAAUGUUGAUCUCAGUUCUAGACUGAAUUUGAGAGGCUGUAAGUUUAUGUUAUUGAUGGCUAAAGAAUGAGGUCCAUUGUUCUUUAAAUGUGUCUUUUGUUGAAAGAAAGUGUAAGAGUCCAAAGAAACUCUCUAGACUUUGCUACCUGAGGUUCAAUAGUCUGCUCAAAUGGUUUCCUGGGAUCAUUGAAUGUUGGAGACUCCAUGUUUUAUGUGACCCCCACAUCUUUAGAAAUAAGAAGAUCAAGUUUAGUCACUUAGGAUUUGCUCUUGGGUCUGUAGGAGGCAGCCAGAGGUUUGAGAAACUCAAAGUUAUUUAAAAAGGUCUUCACUUAUAAGUAGGGUCUCAAGUACACACAUUUAUAAAUAUUGUAUUGUCUCCCUAGUAUAAAAAAAAUAAAAAUCUGAAAGAGUAAUAAGAUCCAAAAUAUACAUUAGAUAUUAUAAUAAUGGAAGUGCUCAAAAGGAUAGAACAACUAGGAUAAGGGAAAGGAAAAAAGGAAGAAAGGAAAAGAUUAUAUGUAUGUUGGUAAAUACAUAGAAAUGUAUGUAUGGAUACGUAUGCUAGAUAGAUAACUGUACUACUAAUCUCGGUUAGUUCAUCAAAAAGAACAGUUUGUGCUGUCAUUGAUUGAUCUCUUUUGUGCCUAGAUUUUUUAACCUGUACAACUACUUCUAAGAUAACAAUAUGCAAUAUAUUAACUAGUGUUAUUUCCCUACUUUUUAAAAAAUUCAGUAUCAUUUCUAUCCUUUUUUUCUAUUUUUCUUUUUAAAGUUAAAAACAAUAAAAAGGUAUUCAAAUUACCCUCUUUUAUGAGUCCAUUAGUACCAAAGAAGAUUAAGAGAAAUGCAAUCAGCCCAACUCUGGAUUCUUAUAUAUAAUCCGGAUAUAUGAAAAAGAACUCGAUCAGGCAAUAACUUGGAAGAGUCCUGAGAAGGAUGCUAAUUCAGAACUUUUAAAAUGUAAUUUCUAUAUGAGAAUGCAAAAUGUUGUUUGUUUAUUGUAUGAACUGAACUCAACAAAAUAGAGAAUGAUUUAAUUUUUCUUCAUCUGUUAUACUUACAUAUAUGCUCCAUCAGAUCAUUUUUCCUUUUUCUUAGAUAAAAUCUAGAGAAAAUUCCAUAGAUUUCUUUUUCUUUUCAUGCUUUUAGAGGCGUCCUGUUUUGCUAAGAUUCACGGUCGAGUGUUGGAAUAGCCCAGUCCAGUCUAAAUCCAAAUUUCAACCUCAUAGUCCUCUCUUUCUCUGAGCCUCUCUCUUUGUCUCCGCUUCGGUCUAGGAAAGAAGCGUGGUCCUUCCUUGUGCUACACAUUUCCUCUUCUUUAUUUUUUCUACCUCAUGCUACUAGCUCUUCCUGGCUCUAGGCACAAGAAAGCUAGCAUAAGAGGGAAAAGGAAAAAGCAUUUUUACUUAGGACAUGUUCUUUGUGGGUUUCUCUUGCACUGUUCAUGUCUGUGAUCCAAGUGAAAAGCCUUCACACGCUGGCUUAUUCAUCUGUUAUGCAUUUUUCUGUGUGUGUGCUCUCUGAACAUCCUGCAUGGGUGACAGGAGAUGCAGCGUGCAGUUGACCUCUUUCGACUCUCUCUCCAUCUCUGUUACUGCUGUGCUAUUUCACAAAGCGCAUUGUGUCCCUCAGGAUGACUGAAGCCUGGCUACCUCCCAGUACUCAUGAAAUUCACAGGACACUUGGGUCCUUGAUAUUCCAAACUCCAGAUGAUUCUGAGGUAGAGCCAAUUUCCUAAUUUUUCUUAACUCUGUGUAGACUGUUGCUCAUUGAUUUUUUGCUUCUUUUGAUAAAGAAUUUACAUGUAGGUGAUACAAAGCUAAGUAAAACAGCACUCCUCCUCUCCAAGAAUAUAUAAUCUGAGACGUUUAUAAUCCAUAAAUAUUUGUUGUUGCAGAACUGCAAAGUUCUUUGAGACCCUUCUGUGACUUGGGGAACAUUAUUAAUACAUGGGCACUCUAGAGUGUUUAGAGCAGCAGGAUAAUGGAUUCUCUGCUUCAGGGCUGGCACUAUGUUUUGGUUAUGGUUUUCUAGAGCCAUAGAAGCCACAGGGAAAUUUGUCUAUCUGCCUAUCUAUUUAUCUGUCUCUAUCUAUCUAUUUAUCCAUCUAUCCUUACAGAAAGGGAUUUACUAGAUAGGUUCACAGGAUGCAAUGUGAGAUGACCUACAGUGGCUGUCUACACAGUGCAGUGCACAGGAUCCACUGGCUGCUCAAUCCAAAAGGCCGGAAGCUGCAGAGUGAAAGGGCCCAGGAUCCAGUGCUGGUCUGAGGCUGAAUGCCUGCAAGCUUUCUGGAAAGCUGGUGGUGUGAGUGCUCACUGAAAGAUUGAAGAACUGGAGUCUGAUUUCCACAGGCAAUGGCAGCAGGUUGUGCUCACGCUAAAGGGAACUUCGGAGUGGAGGCCAACGUCCUCUGUCUUCCCCCUGUCAGUUCCAUCAGGACUGCAAGCCCGUCGGACGAUGCCGCCUAUGAGCACGGCAGGUCUGUUCACUCAGUACUCUGACCUACGUGCCAAUAAAUUCUGGAAACACCUCCACAGACAUGCAGAUGUGUGCUUUCCAACUCAAAAGCUAUCUGAAUCCAGUUCAGUUGAGGUCAAGACUAACUGCUGCACACUGCAAACGCACAACUCCUUUACAUUCCACUAUUUAUGCUUUUUUCACCCUACUGUAAAUUUUGAGAAAUUCUAAUAAACUGUUUGAAUUCUAGCUUGGGUCUCUUUGGCAAUGUCCUAA